CAGUAGCGGGCAACCCCAGACACUCCAGCGAAAGAACAGCAGCCUUUGCUCUCCGCCUCUUUCCCUCCUUACUUUAGGCCUGGGCGAGAAGUACGCCAGAAAAGGGCGCGAAGAAUCCGAUCAGCCGCAGGUGGAGGGGAAGGCAACCCGGCCAAGAGGGAAUGCUUCAAAGGUGUAUUUAAGAAGUUGGGGUUCCUCCAUUCAUUUGCUGGAGGAUGGCGGCUGGCAGCUGACUGUAUGCUGGACGCUGGAUUCUUUGGGAUGACAGUCUCCUCCAGACCUGGGACCAACAUGAAUUCUUUGGUCCCAGUAUAUCUGUAUCUGUGUUUGACUGGAUAAUUUGAGACGAGAGUCCUGUCCAGUCAAUCUUACUCUCCCAUUAAUAAAAUAUUAAAAACUCUCUAA